CCACCCCAACCGGGGAGAACCUUGGAUGCUAAUAAACAAAUUUUUUUUUUCCUCUCGUGAUGGAAAUGAGAAAGGCGGAGCAUCUGUCACUUAUGGAUGGACCUGCGGCGCAUUAGCUGGUGGUGAGGUAACGGCUCACCAAGGCGACGAUGCGUACCCGACCUGGGGGGGUGAUCGGCCGCGCUGGGACUGAGCCACCACCCAGACUCCGGCGGGAAGCAGCAUUUGGUAACCUUCCGCAAUGAACAAAAGUCUGACAGACCCCCGCCGGGUGAGGGAUUUAUGUUUUCAGAUCUCAAAGCUCUGUUGAAAAGGAACAACGCCUAGGAGAGUAACGGCUUGAGGGGUGCCCGUAAAAAAAAAAAAACCCCCGGCUAACUACGUGCCCCAGCCGCGGUAAUACGGGGGGGCGAGCGUUGUCCGGAAUUAUUGGGCGUAAAGCGCGCGCAGGCGGUAAUGUGGGUUGGGUGUUUAAACCUAGGGCUCAACCUUGGGUCGCAUCCAAAACUGCAUAACUUGAGUAAAGGAGAGGAAAAUGGAAUUCCACGUGUAGCGGUGAAAUGCGUAGAGAUGUGGAGGAACACCAUUGGCGAAUGGUUCCUUUCUGGGCUGUUACUGACGCUGAGGCGCGAAGCGGGGGGAGCAAACAGGAUUAGAUAGGGUGGUGGCCACCCGUAAACAAUGAAUGGGGGGGGGGGGGGGGUUUCCCUUUUCCCUUUCUUGCGCAGAUAAACAUUAUUCUUUCCGCUGGGGGGGGGGGGGAGCACGAUAGAAAAUAAAAAGAAAUGUACGAGGAGCGCGCGCACGGCUGUAGUAUUGUUGGUUUAUAUUCUGAAACAACACCCAAAGACACACGUC
rnacentral:rRNA from 1 species